rnacentral:lncRNA from 1 species
UAUCAGCUGAGCACCUUGGCCCAAGAGAGGAAACGGAAGGCACUGAGGCAGUCCACAGCCCAGCCACAGUGUCCUCAGAUGGGCAGCUCAGGCCUGGUGGAGGGGUGUGGCCGCAGGUGGGAUGCAGCCGUGUUCAGCCCUGUGAGCAGGUAUGGGAUGAAGGGCUGCCCAGGGUGGGGCUAUAAGAUGGGAGGAGUCGGGGUGACAGCAGCAGCUGCUGCUGCAAGUGGCCAGGCAAGUGGGGAGAUGGUACAAAUAGGAGAAUAGCCCCAUAGAGGCCCUGAGCAGGUAGGCAGUCGAGAUGAGAGGUCAGGAGGUGGAGAAAAGCAGAACACAAUGACGGGCAAAAGAGCAAGUACCCGCGGGCCAGGUGGUACUAGAACAGGAAGGAGGAAGAGGGGGAAAUGGGCAGGUUUUGGUGGAGAAGUGAGACUCCAGCCAUCUGCAAACUGCCUGGUGAGGCCAGGAGUGUGACAGGGACAGGAAGGAGCGCUCACUCCUUUUGCCAGCAUCUGUGUCUUGAGGGGUCAGUCUGAGUCACAAGGAUCCACCAUAAUGUUGGAAAGAGGGACUGUCCCAUGAAUGUGGCCUGAGCAGCCAUGGCAAGGAGCAUCACAGGGUAGGGAGGUAGGCACUCAUACGAGUGGGACAUGGAAAUAUCCCAGUGCCCAAGCCACAGCCUGGCCCCAUCAGAUCUCUAGGGCAGACCCAGGCAUGCGUGGUUUCAAAGCUCCCUGGGACAUACGAAGGUUGCUGUGGGGCCCAUAGAUGUGGAGUGGUCCCUACUGUCAGGUGGGCUACAGGGAGGCUGCAGGGAGAAUUCUCUGGAGAGUUCUCAGCUAGGAGGACCCUCAGACAGCAUGGUUUGUCAAGUGGUAGUUGUCCCCAUACCUGGGUCAGAGGUGGCAUGCAGUUAUAUGCACUUCUUGAGCUCUGGGUCUGGAGAUUUAAGCUGUAUUCCAGGCCCUCUACAGACCUGUGGGAUCCUUUUCUGCUUGUCUAUGGAUCAUUUUUAUUUUAAGCUCCUUGAGAGACAUCCAUGCUCUGCUGGUUUCUGGCAACCCUGAUGUAGACCAAGAAAGAGAGCUCAGGACACAACCUCGAGGAGAGGAUCAGGAGGGUAGGCCAGGGCCUCACACAGGGUGAUCUCCCUCAUCACCCAUCCUGGGCAGCCACUGCCCUCAAGGGCCAGCUUCUCCACUUCAGGGCCCCACCUGGCUCCUUGACAGGAACAGACUCUGAGCCCAGCACAGGGCUUUGUAUGGUCUCUGAGUCCCCACACUUCCUGAUUCUCCAUGCCCCCCCCACCCCGCCCCCGCCCCAAGUAUAGUGAGAGGGCAACAUCUCCAAGACCACACUUCCAAUGAGCUCAGGUUUGGGAUUCACUCUUUCAUGAGGAUUUGCUUAUAUUUUUUUGAGGAUGUGCUUACUGACUUGAGUGCUAAUGGAUCUUUUUAACUUGCUCUUUGAGAAUUAGAACAACAGAGUGAUCGGGUUUUUGUGUUUGUGGAAUUGCUUCUUUUAUCUUACACCAAGUCAGAACCCAUAUGAGACAGUUCACCUGUGAAUUCCUCUGGGUAUCUUUUAGCAAGUGGAUGCAGGAGCCACAUUUUUGGAUUGCCACUAAAGUAUCAAUUUUAAAAAAAUAUAAACAGUAAACAGUGUGUUGUGUUGUAUUGUGUUGGCUUGGUUUUUGGAAGUGUGGUCCAAGAACCAUCCAAAUCAGAAUCACUCAGCGAUUAACAAUGCAAAUCCCUAGGGCCCCUCCAGACCAAAUAAUCAGAAGCUCUGCAGCUGGAGCCUGAUUCUGCACCCUAAAGCUCCCUAGUGAUUCCUGUGCACAUCAAAGUUUAAGAACCCUACUUAUCCUUCAACUGAGAGAGAGGGGGAGAGGGAGAGACUAGUUGGUUGUGUGUUAAAGAGAUUGGGCACAGAGGCUGACAGAUACUUAGGACCAAGAUGUCUCUUCCUGUACCCAAUCCCAUUCCCAUAAGCACUGCCCCUUCUGUGUCCUUUUGCAUGUGGACAUCCUGUGUAGUCUGUGUGCCAUCACUGAGCUCGCGCACACUAUGGGCACCUUGGCUUGUGAUACCUCCAAAUUGUCACCAGAGGGCACCAGAGCAUCUCCAAAAACCUCUCAAGGCUCCCUUGUUCUUGCUCUCCAUUUCCAUGGCAGACAGUUCACUCUCCACAACUAGGAUCCCAAUCUGUCCCCACUUCACUGUCACUGAUUCUCAAAGGACACUGCAGCUCGUCAGAGUGAACAGCUGCUAAGAAAAGCAUUAACUAAUCGUGAAUCCUGAGGAAUCUACCUUAUGCUUCUAAGACUGAUUUCUCCUCCUAAAAAAGAAUUAUCACAGACCUAUCACUGGAGUUCUUUUCAAAGUGAAAUGAGAUAAUAGAGGAAAACCUCCUCGACCAUAUCCUGGUUAUUAUUCUACCAUCAGGAAGUGAUGUAAAUUGCUAGAAAACCAGAAGCCUUGAAAUGCAAAAAUAAUUUUUUUUAAUUUUAUUAUUAACAAAUCAAAAUUCAGUCAUGGCUGUCUUUCACACAUAUAUUCCAAAAUUUUUCCACCCUUUUUAUAAUUUUUGGUCUCUGCCUGUAUUUUCCACGUAGCACAGUUCAAAACUCUGCUGGUGAGCAGAAAAGCAUGGUUAAAAAAGAGGAAUUGCCUCCAGCAGGCCAGGCCAGCUCCUCAGCUCACACCCGAGCCACCUGACUCUCUUUCUUAAGGCUAGGGGGUUUAUUUUUAAAACAGGUGUAACUCAAAUUUUGUUCCCUAAUUCAUUGUGCUGUACACAGCAUUGCAACAAUUUAUUCUGUGAAGAUAAUUAUAAUAGGAACUCUGAUGGCAGAGGAUGAUGUGGAGGUGGAGUAGAUGGAGUUGGUGGUGGUGGAAGUGGUGGAGGUGACAAUGGUGGAGGUAGUAAUGGUGAAGUCGGUGGUUUUGGUGGUGGUGGUGGUGGUGGGUAGGUGAUGGUGAAGCUGGUGUAGUAUUGGUGGAGGUAAUUGGUGAGGGUGGAGGUGUUGGUAGCAUUGAUGGGGGUUGAUGGAGGUGGUGGUAGACUCUCUUACUUAGCAUCCUUCAGAAGUUUCUCUUGCCUGAAGGAUCAAGCUCAUGUUCAUGACCCAGCUCCUGCUUACUUCUUCACUCUUACUUCUCAUCAGCCACACACACACACACACACACACACACAGUCUCUCUCUCUAACACACACAAAGUUCUUCCAUACUUGAAAAUCUCUGAGCCUCCAUCCCAAUGCAGAAUUUUAUUCUGUUUUCAUUCAUUGCUGCUCUGACCACUUCUUUUCUUCAGUCUUCAGAGCCCAUUCAGUAUUCAGAUCCCAGUUUCAAUGUCACUAUCAUUUUUUGCAUUCUUCAAUACUUCGGUGGCAUUUGGGGAUACCUCAUCUGUAAUUUCUCUGGUGUGGCUUGUAAGAAAUUCAUGGGGUCUCUCUGCCUGCCAGAGGUGGCCUUUCAAUUGGUCUCUCCAAAGGCCCAUUUAGACUGAUCCAAGAACCCUAGCCAGUUCCCGUGCAGACCCUGCAGUCCCGCCAUUGCAGUCUUACAAACACGUUGUGAGAUCGGGUGACAGAGUAGUGUGUGCUCUAGGCUCAGACAACCUAUCACAAGUCUUUUUGUUUCACUUUGUUUUGUUACAUCUUAUUAAACUAACAUCUUCCUAGAAAAGUUAACUAAUCAUCAGCGUGUCACUUAGUCAAUGAAUUUUGCAUAAAUAAACACACCCAUGUAACCAGCACCCAGCUCAAGCAAGAGAAUAUCACUAGCAUUCAGAAGCCCCUCAACAGUUUUAUUUUUAAAAAAGUAGGUUUAAACUUAUGAUGUAAAUAUGAGCUGCCACAUUUCAAAUAUGUGAGUAGAUAGUAGCUUUUUCAAAGAUCUAUUAAAAGUUUCAGAAGCCAAAAUGCUUCCGAGGAAGUCGCUUUGGGGAUCUGGAUACACAGUGUUCCUUUCCAAAGCAACACCCAAGCCCUUAGCUAACCUGGAGCUCCUGCGGGGGAGAGAGCCAGGUACACACACUACUUGAGUGAAAGGACCAACGAUGUUUGGAGAACACCACGUUAACUGUAAGGACAUUCCGAAGAGGUUCAGGGAAUGAGAUGGGAACACCUACAUGGUUGCCUGCCAACUCCAACAUGUCUCUCUAUGAGGGACAUCACAGGUACCAUCUCACCAAUUCCCUUGAGUGGGUCACCCCAUUUGAAAGCAAAGUAAGCUGAGGAAAGACAACAGACUUGUGUCAAAUCCACAGAUUAUGAUGUUCAAAAGCCCCUUAGAAACAGGAUUUCAGUCAUCUGGCAUCUUAUAAAGAACAGCAUAGGCAAAAACCCUGGGUGGAAGAGAGGACAGCUCCUCAGGCACUUCCAUCCCAGGGGCCCUGACACCCCUGUGCAACGUCCCCCCUAGGAGAAUGAGAGUUAAGGAUGGAGGGGCAGGGUAGCACCUUCUUCCGGAAGCAGGGUCCUGGAAACCAGGUGGAGGGGCUUUAAUGCAGGGUUUUGUGCCUUAUCCCUACUGCCCUUCCCUGCAUGAUGGCUGGGAGUUCAAGGUGGGGACCUUGCCCUUCUUGUAUAAGUGCAUACGUUUUCUUCUGUAUUUCUAAGGACGCCUUGAUGUUUCACAAGGAUAUUUCGCAGUCCUCCUGCGCUGGAAAUGUACUGGCUCUGUUCCUGACACAUUCCUAUGGCCCCCAGCGUCACACAGGUGUUUGGGACAGCACCUGACCUCCUAAUCUGAUGGGCUUACAAGGAAAGGUCAAGCCCCACAGCUCACACAAGCUGCAGGACAAGUCUGUGGCGCUCAGUGUGUGCACAAGGAUUCCAGAACAUUCCCUUUAUCUCAAGAGGCCCUUGUACCCCGAGCAGUAUACUCCCAGGUUAACUCCCAGGCCCUGUCGAGCUGCCUGGAGGCCUCACUCUGCUCUGCCCUUUGCAACUGCUGAGGGAGUCACCACGUCCCCUGGAGGUGCAGCAGGACUGGCGCCCUCACAAUGAACCUCAUCAGCCCUGGACAGGUCACCUCGCCAACCCUUGGCUUCCUUGGCUUCUAAAAGGAAUAUGAUGCCACCUGAAGGGUUGAAGGAGCAUCUGCCCCCAUCUCAUCAAAAGUACAAGCUCUAAAGGACCCUCCAUGGCCAGCAGAGCUGAGCAGAGGGACCUGGUAUGAGGGUAGCUGAAUAAGCCUCCGGGGAAUGGCUCUGCUUCCUCAUCCUCCUCCUGCCUCUGACAGCUCCCCUGCUGUCCCAGAAGACCCUCCCUGGCCUCAUCUUCCCUGUCCCAUCUUUGUCAACAAUGCCCAAGAUUCUUUCCCAGACUAGAGACCCACAACUCCAACACCAUCCUGGGUAUUUCCAGACAUCUCAAACGCAUGUCACAAAAUAGACUCCCACCCACCUCUUCUCUAUGCCAUAUUGUGACUUUAAACUUUUCAUGACGUAUACAGACUCACCUUAAAGUGCACAUGCACAAACUGAAACACCCAGGGCACCAGCACCCAGAUGAAGAAACAAACAUUGGUGGCACCCCAGAAGUCCCCUGUGCCCCUUCCAGUAGGGACCAAAAUCCUGACUUCUGUCAGUUUAGCCCAGUUUUAAACUUGGUAUAAAUGGCAUCAUUUAGUCAUACCCUCCUGUCACUAGCUUCUUUCACUCAACACUGUGAGAUUGACCCCCAGCCUUGGGAGGAGUUGCAUGUGAUUCGUUCUCUUGCAGGGUGAGGGUCUCACUAGUUGUCUACUCUAGUGAAGGGCAAUUGAGCUGCUCUCCAUUUGGGGCCACUUGGGUACUGCUGUAAUGGAACAUUGUUGUGAAUGUCCACAAUUUAUUGCUUAAGUGUACAUCACCUGGCAGCAUUUAAGAGAGUCUGACCUAUACAUGGUAAGAUGGGAAACUGGGGAGGAGUCAUGAAGGAAUAUGGCCUCCAGCCAAGGGAAGAUGCUGAACCCAGGCAGCAUGGCUCACAGCCUGCAGCCAGGCUCUACAGAGGAGGAACUGGCCAUACCUCAACCCCAGUCCCUGGGAACUCCAGGCCUCCUAUAUUUGGGUUGGCCUGGGUUUGCAGCUGAGGUUGGAACCAUCCUAGAUUGUCCACAAGGAGCCCUGUAGAAACAGGCUUCCUUUCUGCUUGCCAACCUCACAGUGGCCCAUGUGUCCCCAGAACUGGCCAAUCUACAUGCCUAGAGAGGCUCAGCCCUCCCCAGUUGCUAUAUAGCCCUAGAGGGCGGCCGAAGCUUCCCUGGAGGGCUGGCUGAUGGCUGUUUUGUGCCUGAGGAUGGUUGACCUGCAACAAGAGCCGAUGACCAAAGGCCAUCCAUGCACGUUGCAGAUGGCAGAGGCAUUGUCCCCUGGACUACCUGUCUAGUCGUAAUGCUAGAGUGCUGGACUGAGAGCCAUGAAAAUAUACCCCUACCCCUUUGCUACCCCCAAGACACACAUGCCUUAUUUCAGUACAAUUCAAGAACUCAUCCUAGCCCUUCAAGUCCUCAGAGUGACAGUCAUUCACUCAUAUAGUCACCCAUAGACUCGGCAUACAGUUAUUGAGAAUCUUUGUGAGCCAGAUACUGAUCCUGAAACUGGAUUAAGUAAUGAAAAAAAACCAGCCCAGACUCUGCCCUCAGGAAGCCUGCAGGCUGGUGAGCAAGCUCGGUUGUGGCAAAUAAGCUCCCCCGUUUUGCAUCCUACCAGGUACCUGUGUCACUCUGGGUGAUGCAAGCCUAUAGUUGCAGCUCUGGCCUGAAGAUUGACCUUCUCUCAGACAGAGAGAUUUCCUUUGGAAAGUGUAGUCAAGUGUCCAUGAGUGUAAUGUAAGCUACAGAAAGUACAGUUUCACACAGGUAGGAUAUUUUUUUUUGGAGGGGAGGGGUAACUUUUAGCCAAAGGAAUUGUAUGCUGGGGUGUGGUGGGAAGGAAUCACUGCAGGACCCCUGGGUUUAUAAGGUCAAGGAAUCCAAAAUGCAGACCCAAAGAGUGCAGGGGAGGGGCACAAGGCAAAUGCAUAGGGAAGAUCCCAAAGCCUUUUUAGGGUUGGCCCUGCAGGACAGGAGACAUCAGUCCUAUGGAGGGCAGGCUGCAGAGGUUUCUGGCUGGAUGGUAGGCACUGGUGCCAGGCCCAGGCCUGGAGGGAGCCCUGCCCUCUGCAAGUGCACAUAAGCCUCUUGUGACUGUGAUGAUCUCUCUUGGUGACUGACAGCCGGGAGGCAUCCACCAAGCCUGUGUGAAGCAAUGGGGCAUCAAGCAGAGGGUGGGGCAGACUAAGCUAAUGGAGCCUAAUGGGAGGAAGGGGUGACAGGCUUCGCCUAGAGCAGCACUUUCCCCAGGCACAGCCCAGCUUGUGACAACACGCUCCCUGCUGCCAGCUGGAACACGACCGUGACUCUCUUGGGCUCACCAUGGCAUCUCCAACCAAGACGCUGGAAUCUGUGAACUGUCACCACUCCAGGAGGCUGACUGCAUUCCUUCUUUCCAAGUCUCAAGGAGAAAGAUGUCCUAGGGGGGCGCCUCCCAAAUGUAAGGUGCACACAAAUCCCCUGGCGCUUAAGACAGCUCGGGACUCGGGUGGUCUGAGUGGGACUGAGAUUCUCAUUUCUCACAAGUUCUAGAGUGUGCAAAGCUACCUGUGAGUAGACCACACUUUGAGUAGCAAGAGUUGAACAUUACCAGAAGGGAAGAAACCAAACUGUCACCUCGGUUUGGGGCGGGGUGGGGGGGUUGGAUCUAGCACCUGGUUGUACAGGCAGUUUUUAAAGUACAGAUAACUGAUUUCUUGAGCAGUCUGCUUCAUGAGAUGCAAAUAAAAUACGGGUUUUUAAGUCAUUCUCUUUCAACAAUCAGAAAGCUUCUUUUUUUUUUUUUUUUUGAGUAAUGGAACUGAGAUGAUGGCACCAUUGUUAGAAAUAGGGAAGCCAUUUAAAGAAGAAUGAAAUUAUGGCAUUUGUCAGUCAAUGGACGGAGUUGGAGAAUGUCAUGCUAAGCAAAAUAAGCCAAUCCCAAAAAAAAACAAAGGCCAAAUGUUUUCUCUAACAUGCGGAUGCUAAUUCACAAUGGAGGCCCAGCACUAGAGAAGAAUAGCAUUACCUGAGAUUAGGUAGAGGGAAGUGAAGGGAGGGGAGGGGAGGGGAUGUGGAGAUGGAAAGAUAGUAGAAUGAAACAGACAUUAUUACUGUAUGUAUAUAUGUGACUACAUGACCAAUGUGACUCUACAACAUGUACACUCAGAAAAAUGAGAAAUUAUAUCCUAUCUAUGUAUGAUAUAUCAAAGUUCAUAAAUGCAUUCUACUGUCAUGUAUAGCUAAUUAAAACAAAUAAAAAAUUUCAAAAUUAAAAAACCCUCAAAAAAAGAAAGAAAGAAGGAAGCCAGAGACAGAUGGUUUAAAGGUAAAUAAUAAUAAAAACCACCUUUGCUUCAAUGCCAAUCAUGUGCUAUGAUCUUGUUUCAUCUUUUUAUUUGGUAAAUUAACCUUCAUUCAUUUUAUGGUAAAAUUAACUUCCCUUAUGCUGUUAUUCCUCACUAUAAUUUGAACCUUAUCUGUCAAACUCCAAAAUCCAUCUGAUCCCCCUGUGACACACUUCCUUGUGGUGGGUGAGGAAUCAGGGUUAGGUGGAUUCAGUGUAGUAGUUCUCAACCUUGCCUGUGCAUUAGAAUCACCAAAAAGUCUUCUGAAACCCCUACACCUCAAACUAACUCCAUAAGACUCUCUAGGGGAGGAACUCUUCAUCAGCAUUUUUUAAAGCUCCCCAGAUAUUUCCAAUAUGCAGACAAGCCUAAGAGUCACUGAUUCAGCCCAACUCUUCCUCUAAUAAGUGAGGCAGUUUGUUAAGCUAGUAGGUGAAGUGCCAAUUCCAUCAGAGUCCAAGCCAGUAGACAGAUCUCCAUUCCUACCCCCAAUAAACCAAUAACCAGCUGACCAUAAAUGAUGCUGUAGGAUGAAGUAGAACAGGAGGGGAAGGAGGUGGAAUCUUGCCAAGGGAAAACAAGGGGAGAAGACUGAGAAUUCAAGCCAGCGCACAUUUAGAGCUGAGAAGAUUCAGAAAGAUAGAGAAGUUCAAACGACUUAAAUCCUUGGAAUGAAGAACAAUAUCUUACUCAACUAAGAACCUUAUUUUUUGACAUACAUUCAACAAUGGCCAGAUGGGUGAUUGAAUCCAAUGGACCAAAAUAUUGAGAAUCCAGGUGGAAGAGAGAAAUGGGGUUCAUGUUGGUACUGAGGAAGGGGACAAUGACAGAAGAGACUUUACCUGGUAUGCAGCAUCCAGAGCGGCAAAAAAGCAUGUGGCCAUCAUGGGAAAACAGGUUUGGGGAUUUUGUUUUGAGGCUUGGGAUUAUUUUAAACUAAUAAGACAAAAUAUACCAGGUAGAGAGAUAAAUGAAGCAAUCCAUUUGAAGCAAAAAUGUGGAGGCUCUGCUAGGGACCUCAGUCCAUCAUCUCUGUCCAACUGAGCUGAGAGGCUGAGGCUGCCACCCUCUCCUCCAACAGAAAUCUCAGAUUAUAAAAUGAGCAAAGCUCUGGGAACCCAACCUACCACCAAAGCUUUCUUCAGGCA